rnacentral:rRNA from 1 species
UACGAAGGUGGCAAGCGUUGUUCGGAUUUACUGGGCGUACAGGGAGCGUAGGCGGUUGGGUAAGCCCUCCGUGAAAUCUCCGGGCCUAACCCGGAAAGUGCGGAGGGGACUGCUCGGCUAGAGGAUGGGAGAGGAGCGCGGAAUUCCCGGUGUAGCGGUGAAAUGCGUAGAGAUCGGGAGGAAGGCCGGUGGCGAAGGCGGCGCUCUGGAACAUUUCUGACGCUGAGGCUCGAAAGCGCUGGGGAGCGAGUCCGG